CCGAAUCCACAGUUCCACCUCCAAACCCAGAACCAUCACAACCCACUUCAGAACUCCCCAGGAACACGAAGAAGAAGCUAGCGAGACAACAGAGAAGGGAAGCAAAGAAAGCAGAGAAGAAAGCGGCGGCGAAGAAGCAGAAGAAGAAGAAGGAAACCGAACGGAAACGAAAGGAAUGAGAACAAAGUUAAAACCUAGAUCUACACUGUUUGGUUGUUUAUCUUUGAAAACCGAGUCCGGAUUUGGAUUAUAGAAGGAAAAGGAAUUUUAAAAGUGAAUUUUUUUUUUUUGAAAUCGGAGCCAUUUCCUACUACUCUGGCGGCCGCGCCGAUGCCCUAGGGCGGCCGGCCACCGCGCCGAAGGUGUGUAAAAGAUGAAGCUUCAUCCCAGAUUGGUUUCUUAGAGAGAGAGUGAGAGAAAAUCUGUUUUUCAAAAGAGUAGAGAGAGAAAUGACAAACACAAAAUGAAAGAAAUUUGAUGGUUGUGAAGUGUUUAUGCACGGCGCAUAAGGAAAUGGCUUAUGCACCAUAACUUUUUCCAAGUUGGCAUAGAUAUACAUAAAUUAUUAAAUAAGUUGUUGGUCAAUAAAAAUAUAAUUAAUUUUGUUUUUAGUCCCCACAAAAAAAGGUUAAUUAAGUAAAUGAUUUUUAUAAAUAUUUAGAAUUUUGUUUUUAGUCCGUACAAAAUAAAAUCACACUAUUUAGUCUGUGACAUUUUCCUUUAGCAUUUUAGAGAAAAAAAAGUGUUGAUGGAAAUUUUUUAUAGAGACUCAAAAUAUUGAUGCAAAAUUUUACAGGGACUAAAAAGUACGAUUUUAUUUUAUAGGGACUAAAAAUAAAAUUCUAAAUAUUAAUAGGAACCAUUUAUUUAAUUAACCCUAAAAAAUGUGACAUAUUUUGGUUAGUAUAAAAAUUUUCAUCACGUAAUCUUAGUCCCUGUUAAAUUAAAAAUUGUUUAAUUAUGUUUAAAAUUUAAAAUUUUUGAAUGAUAUUUUACAAAAUUGUUUAAAAUAUUAUUAAAAGUUCAUCCGCAAAAAAUUAGCUCAAAAUUUGAUUUUUAAGUCCAAAUUUUUGUUAGUUUUAUCUUGAAAUUUUGCUGUUUAAAUAAAGUCAUGUUUGAUUCAUUAGAUGUUAAAAAAAUUUAAUUUUAUAAAAGAGUUUUUUAUAAUGUUCUUAACAUGUCUAUAAAAAAUCAUUUAAAAAUUUAAAAUUUUAAUCAUAAUUAAAUAAAUUUUAGGUUAACAGGAACUAAAACUAUGUGUUAAAAAUUUUUAUAGGGAUUAAAACGUGUUACUUUUUUCUUUAUGAGGACUAAAAAUUAAAUUCUCUAUAUUUAUAAGGACUAAAAACUUAUUUAACUCAAUAACUAACACAUACCUUUUAUACCAAAAACUUCAAGAGGAGUUACAUGGCUUAUACUUUGUUGAACACUUCUUUCUAUAUGCACAACAAAGAUGUUUCUUUUAUCAAAAGACGUAGUUUGGCUUCAAAGUAUGUAAACAUCUGAGACAUGGCUUAUUUAACCCAACAUUUGUUAGCUUAUGAUGAUGAUUCUACCACUCAAAUUUCUCUAGUGUUUAUGAAUGUUAUGUUGUACCCUCAUUGGACAAUUAUUCCUAUGACUAAAACACUAUUAUUUCUUGUUUGGAAUCGUUUCCUUUCUUUAUAAUGAAAGGA
rnacentral:lncRNA from 1 species